rnacentral:lncRNA from 1 species
GGGGGGGGGGGGCUAUUGCAUCACAUCCAGACACAGGUGCAUUGAGAGGAUCUGCAGCGAAAAUAUUUGAAGAAACGCUUAUACGUCCGGCCAAAUCACUCCGUUAAAAGUCAAUGGCUCCUUAUAUGAUCCAACUCUGAAACCUGGGAACCCCUCAGGACCGCUGGAGCAGUGCGGCGCGGGGAGGCCAGGGUCACCUUCUCCAUGGACGCCUUCGUGCGCAUCCUGCAGCCUGAGCGCUAUGAGCUGUGGAAGCGCGGGCAGGACCGGGCUGCUGUGGACCACACGGAGCCCACGGCCGCGGACAGCCGGGAGCUGAGCGCCUGGCGGGGCUUCUGCCCGGAGUCCCCAGCCAGCGGGCAGACGGGGUCCGCGUCAGCGUCUUCGGAACAGGAGGCUCUGCUCUCGGGGAGUCUGCUUCCAGGAGCCGACCGCCCACGCCGGGGCGAGAUGCGCCUCUCGGUGGGCGCAAGGGGCCCAGCUCCGGCCCUGGGCUCGGCCCCCCCGCAGUGCUGGCGACCGGAGCCCUGACACCUGUCGUGCGCUAAAGCUCCCACAGCCCCGAGUCCUUGAACGGCGCCUGGACCUCGUUUCCUCCCAUCCCUCCCAGACUUUCCUGGUUGCCUCCUAGUGUCACGACGUGACGCAGGUAACAAUCAUUUGAGUUCUAGGCCAAAGCUGAAUUUGCAAAGCACUACUAUGUUUUGGACAGAGUUCUCCAAAAACGCCACUGAACUCUGCUGAAUUCUGGAUCCCUGGCCAUUAGCAGCCUAAGUUCCCGAUUUCCUUUGCACCUCUGAGCUUGUGGUUAGAAAGACUAGGUUUGGCAUCAACCAGGUUGGAAUCCUAGCUCUGUCACUCACGGCAACGUAUGGGCCCUUGAGCAAUUCACCCUCUCAGAGCUGCCGUGUCCUGCCUGUAAUAUGGGAUCCUAUGCCCACCUCACAGAUUGCUGUGAGGAUCUUCUUAGCUAAUGCUUUAAGCCAUCUUUUAACAGUGCCUGCCCAGUACUAUCAUAGGCCCAACUAACGGUAAUUAACAUUUUAUCUUGACUGCUCCCGUAGGGACCACCUGGGAAUAUGGGCUCUGCAUAAUCUUUGGAAAAGUCUAGGUCAGAAUGAGAAAGAUUUUAGAUGAGCUCUUAGAAUAAAAAUAGAAGAGAAAGUCCAAAGGACACCUAUCAUCACUAUCUGGGAAGGGGGCUGAAAGUCAUACUCAUGAUAUUAAGACAAGAGCUUUGUCAGGCACCGGAAGUGUGUCAGUGUGUGUGUUGCCUCCUUCCGCUCUCCUGCAACUGUAAGGAGUGAAGCCUUUGUUUUUCUGGAGCAGCGAGGAAAUGGGGAGGUAGACAAUUUUCUCUGUCUCCACCCAGGCUUGGAGACAGAAGAAGGAGAUGGUGUGUCCAUGAAGAGGCAGGAAGAUGGUGCUCGGUCCCUGGGAAUGCACAGUGGGCAAGAAAGGAGACUUGGCGAAGCCUGCCUGGGCCUAGAGGGGUCAGAUCUGCAAACUAACUACAGCAGAGACUCUGUGCCUUUCCUCAUCAAAUGCUGGUGAGGCUAUUCUGAGAGGGACUUGUUUCUCUGAACAGACAACCAGAACUGUGGGGAGGCUCUGGUGUCUGGCAAUGCCCAGCGUAGGGGCUGUGUGGGUUCUGCCUGCCUCCUGUUUGGGCUUUCGGUGUGAGACGGGCCUUGGGAUGGUGGGUGACACAGCAUCUUUGGGGUUGUGAGACUUGCCGUUGGCCAAGGAAGACAGUCAGUCCUGUGGGUGGAGAAAACUCUGUGGUAAUUGGAGUUACGGGGGACAUCUUGCAGCACAUAAGAUGCGACUUUAAAAGAUUUAAGCCAUUGCAGUGAAGACACCAGGAAGGGAGUUCGAGCACUGUAGUUAGGGCCUAGUCCUGGAGAGCAUAAAGCUUUCUGCUUCAGCUUCUACCACUACCUGCCUCCCCACCUCUCUGCAUUUCUGCACCUUCUGGCUACUUCAGCCCUCCCGUUAGGCCUGCUUCAGGCUGCUGGCUGUGACAGUUGAGCCAGGUGGCCUGGCCCUGGGCCACCCCCAUGGUGUCGCUGGGCUGCGAGGCAGUCUCCUUUGAUCUAACUCCAGAGCUGCAAAGGCUUGCCGACCUCGCCAUCACACAGACAGUGACUCCCCAGGGUGACUCCCGGGAAGGUUGGGUCUCUGCUUGUCCAGUACAGAUGGCCUCUGUCCUCGGUACGGGAAAUUCCAGGAAGGCUGUCACUCUGGAUAGUUAUCAUGACUCUCUAUUGAUUCCUCUUCCCUACUUUCUCCCCUGUAGCUUCUGACUUUUCUUUUCUUUUGUAAGGUUUUAUUUAUUUAUUCAUGGGAGACACAGAGACAAAGAGGCAGAGGUAGAGGCAGAGGGAGAAACAGGCCCCCUACGGGGAGCCUGAUAUGGAACUCAAUCCUUGGACCCCGGGAUCAUGACAUGAGCUGAAGGCAGAUGCUUAACCACUGAGCCACUCAGGUGCCCCCUGACUUUUCUUUUAAUGGUAAAGGAAAUAAAUGAUCUUGCUGUUGAGGUGGCUUCAUACUUUCUCUCUGUCUACAAACUCAGUUCAUCCGUAUACCUGCUCUGGAUGCAUAUGUGCAAAGUUGACUCUGAAGCAUAAUAUAUUUAGUAAAGCAAACCUUUCCCUAGUCACUGUUUUUCCCUUGCUAGCAGUGACUUAAUGGGGAGAACCGGACCUAGAGUCAGGGAAUGUCAUUUGGAUCUCUGCGGUGCCACCUCCUAGUCUGUGACCUGCAGCAAGAGCUCACUGAUUUCCUGUGAGCCAAAAUUAUAGUGCAAGAGUUCUGUACAAUGCUGUGGGAUGUCCUUGUGAGGGACACUUAGGAGGCACUCACUUCAUUUGGAUGUGCAUCAAGCACCCUCACUGCCUCUAGGGCAAGCACAAGGUCAGGGACACACUCUCAGAUUCUCUCUUUCCAAGCUGCUUGGUUCUACUGUGGUCCUCACAGGCUUACCGGUGACUUUUUUUUCCUUUUUUCUUUUUUUUAAUGGACUUUAUUAUUAAUUUUUUUGGAGUAGUUCACAGCAAAAUGAAACAGAAAGUACAGAGACCCCCACAUACCUCUUCCCAGCCCCCUCCACCAGCACCACACCAAUGGGGUACAGUUGGUAGAAUUGAUGAAUCUAGAGGCACCUGGGUGGCUCAGUUGAUGAAGCAUCUGCCCUAGGCCCAGGUCAUGAUCCUAGGUCAUGAGUCCCUGGUCAGCAGAGAGCCUGCUUCUCCCUCUCCCUCUGCCCUUCCUCCCAUUCAUGCCCUCUCUCUCAAAUAAGUAAAUAAAAUCUUAAAAAAAAAAAAGAUUGAUGAAUCUGCACUGACAUAUCAAACCAUAGUUCCAUUAGGGUUCACUCUUGGAGAUGUUCAUUCUGUGGGCUUGACAAACGUCUGAUGUCACGUAGAGUUUUACUGCCUAAAAAUCCUCUGUGCUCUGCCUUUUCUGCGCUUCCUCCUCCCAAACCCCUGGCAACCAUGGAUCUUUGUAUUACCCUCAUAGUUUUGCCUUUUCCAGAAUGCCACAUAGUUGACAUCAUACAAUAUGUAGCCUUUUUAGAUUGACUUCUUUCACUUAGUCAUAUACAUUUAGGCUUCCUCUGUGUCUGGUGGCUUCCUAGCUCAUUUCUUUUUAUUGCCAAAUGAUAUCCAUUGUAUGAAUAUACUAUUGUUUGUGUAUCUACUCUCCUACUGAAGGUCAUCUUCUAAGUCUUGGCAAUUAUGAAUAAAACUACUGUAA